CCCGAGCCUUCUUCUUGGUUUUUCACCCUCCUCUCCUCGCCUCAACCUCCCCAGGUAGGUGCCUCUAAUGCUGAAAUGCUGGUUGAAUUAGAUUGAAUAAAUUCAGUUGAACUUUUGAAAGCUCUAAAACAAAACAAAAAAGCAAAUAGUCAUUUUCACCCGAGUUCAUACAACAAAUCAUUUUCAUUAAAGUUUGAAGGGGACUUCAGACGAAAGUAGAAAGAGCAGAUGUAUGAGAAAGACGCUCACCCCCUCAGUUUUGGCACUGACUUUUUUUUAAGAAGUCUUCACAUAGGUGGUACUAAGUUAUAAUUUAACUCUCAAGUUAACUAUAGGGGCCCUUGUCUUUCAAGUCAUACAAACACACAAGGCUUUAAUGAUUUUUAACUGAAAGAAAAAAAACAGAAAACAUGCCAUAUGAAAAUCACUUCUCCUUCUAACACCAGUCCUCUGG
rnacentral:lncRNA from 1 species